UACAGAGGGUGCGAGCGUUGUCCGGAAUCACUGGGCGUAAAGGGCGCGUAGGCGGCCUGAUAAGUAGGGGGUGAAAUCCUGUGGCUUAACUGCAGGGCUGCCUCCUAGACUGUCGGGCUCGAGCACGGUAGAGGCAGAUGGAAUUCCCGGUGUAGCGGUGGAAUGCGUAGAGAUCGGGAAGAACAUCAGUGGCGAAGGCGGUCUGCUGGGCCGUUGCUGACGCUGAGGCGCGAAAGCUAGGGGAGCAAACGGG
rnacentral:rRNA from 1 species